rnacentral:rRNA from 3 species
UAACAAGGUUUCCGUAGGUGAACCUGCGGAAGGAUCAUUGU